GUGCUCUCUUCAGCAGCACAUUUACUAAAAUUAGAAUGAUAGAAGAUCCACACAGCCCCUGCAUAAGGAUGGCAUGCAGAUUUGUGAAGCGUUCCAGAUUUUU